UAACUCUGGUUCCCCUUCAAAAUGCGUAUAAAUCUUUCGCCUUUUACUAAAGAUUUCCGUGGGGGGGAACACUGAUGAGUCUUAACUCUAAUUUUUUGUGUACCCUGCUAAUAAGCGGGGUC